rnacentral:lncRNA from 1 species
UCUGCUACCGCCAUUUUGUUAAGUGUUUUUUUUUGUUUGUUUGCUUGCUUUUUUAACUGUUACCGGAUGCGAUUAAACGCGAAAGGACACUUUGCCCAUGGAAAGCAAAAGUUCAGAAUCGUUUUCGGUUUUCAUAUUCAAACGCAAUGCUGCAAUAUAUUAUUAUAAAGCAUGAUAAUGAAGCUAAUCUUGAGCAUUAUCAUACUUUAUCCUUAGUUUUUAUCACUAGAAAAUUACAUAAAGCAGAUAAGAUACGGAGUGGGAGGAUAAAUUAGGAACAUUCUUUCGAAUUUAUUGAUGAAUUCGGAGUUUAGAUAUGUUUGGAUCUGUAAUAUUUGCAUUCUGAUACGCAAGGAUAACGAGUUGCACCCAUUUUACGCGUUUCAAUUGGCGCGAUAAUUCUGUUUUGGUCUUCAGAAUUUCCAAGUUGCAACUGCUGCUCUACAAUAACUGCGAAGUUUAUUUUUUAUUAAAUUUAUCUUGGACAAACUCUCGAAUUUCGUACAACAACAAACUGGAUAUUCUCGAUUCUAAGUACAGAACCGAAAUUUAUCCUAGUUCUGCUUGUUGAGCGGGUUAUAACCACGAAACGUUUAAUAUUGUCAGAAUGGAAGAGGAAGAUCGAAACUCUGUAGUGUAUGCUACAAUAAUAAAUCCAUUUACUCGAAUAUAAGCAAAGGAAACACACGUAUCGAUAGAGAGAGAUAUAUUCUAGAUUCAGAGAUAGGCCUUCAUACUAUCGUCAUCAGAGAGAUGUACAGAACUGGAGCGCGAAUGUAUAACACGCCCGUUAACCAGAUGGAAGAUAAACACACUGGAGCUGUGGAGCGUGUGGUUAUUGGCACGAGAAGAAUAGGAAUUACGACAUUUGGAACACAGAAUAGGAAAUGGGAGAUAGACACCGUGAUGUGGUUUCUCGAUUUUUAAACUUUUCACGAAAAUGCAAAUAAAAAUGUGCCAAUGUUGUAUAAAUGAGUAAACUUUAGAUUCGGUAAAGCAGAAAGAUGUACGACUAAUUUCUGUGUGUGUAAUCUAAAAAUUUCGAUGGAAUUUUUGCAUUAUUUAUCCCUCAUCCAUGUUCUCAUCUUUUUAUAAAGACAUUUAUUGUCCAUAAUGGAUUCUGUUUAUACAGGAUACAUUAACGUACUCGAAUCCGUUCGUUCUCGACGGUACAGGUAGCAGUUUUUUUUUUCUCUAGAAGAAUCUCGUUUAAAUGAUCUCUUAACUCUUUUUUUUUUCUUCUUCUUCUUAGUAAAUUGAAUUUAUUCGCAUAAAUGCGGUUGGUUUUUGUUCUUCAGUGUCCUAUUUCCGACAUUCAAACGUUCCGAACUAAAUAGCAUUAAAAAGAAGCUAUCGAAUGUCGUUAAAAAAAAAAAAAAUUUUUUUUUUAAGAAGUUCGGAAGAUGAGGUUUGUUUAUCUUUUAAAGGGCAAGUCGGUAUAUGGAGAAAGAGAGAGAUGAUAAUUCCGACGAAUAGGCAGAAAAUGGAAAAAUAGACGGAUGCGUAAUUGGUUAGGAAAACGGAAGGUCGAGUGUGUUAGAUGGAAAUGGUCAGGUUUUUCCAAUUGGUCGGGAGCAGCUUGGUCCUCUACUGCAAUGACGACCUUCCGGCCUUGAGCAUCCCAAUCCGCAGGAACGACGUCAGCCCAGGCGAUCGAUUCCUGGCAGAAACUGGAACAGGUAGAAGCGAGGUAAAUGGAAUCGUCCUUGGAAAAUUAGCCCUGACCUCCGCGUUGCCUAGCCCCUAAUCUUGCUAUUUUUUUUUCUUUUUCUGUAAUGUUCCUGGUAAUAAAUAGUUCCAGUCACCACUUCCUCUUCCGUUCUUUUACCUCUCGAUGUAUUAAUUUGAAAAAUAACGAAAAACAAUUUGUAUGUUAACGCGUUAUAUGCUUAUAUAUAUAUAUAUAUUAUACACCUGGCUAUCCGAUCUCCGGAUUUUGGAACAGCAUCAUCAUUUCGUUCCAAAAUCCGGAAUGAUUGAUUAAUAAAUCGGUGACCAAAACGGAAUUUUGUGAUCAAACGAGCAAUUUUAAAAAAUAGUAUCGAUAGAAAUCUAUAAGAUUCGUUCUCGUUUAAAGCCCCGUACACGAAUGAAAAUUUCGAGUGUGUCGUUAAAAAUAAUAUAAUGUUUGGAAGAGGCACUUCAAACAUGGCUUAUGUUAAUUAGAAGAAACGAAUAAUAAUUUUUAUGUAUAAAAAUCUACAACCUUCGCACUCGACUGGUCCUCCUGUGCUGCAAGUUUUGUUUUUUUUCUUUUGUUAACCGUCGUCGACGUCCUCGGAAUUUAUCAGAAUUCGCUAACAUAUUUCCACUUAGUUAUCGUUAUUGCGUAAAAAAAAAAUCUAUCGUUAUGCCGAUUAAUAUGCAUAAUUUUUGAGGCGAUAAAUACGGUUUUAUUUUUUAUUUUUUCACUUGUUUCUCUGGUAGAAAUUUCAAGAAUUUCCUAUUUUAGUAGAUUUAGUAGGUUAACCGCUUACGGUAGCGUUAAUUCUGGACCUGUGUGGAGUGGGAAUUUUUUCGAAAGAUCGUCACGUUGGAUUCGGAUUCGAGUAGUCAUAUAUUUAAAAAAAAAAAAAAAAAAAAAUGUGUUAGUCACGAGAUAAAGAUUAUCAUGGGAGAUACGAG